rnacentral:pre_miRNA from 1 species
AUACAAAUCAUCUAAGGGUGUUAUUAAAAUGCAGAUUCUGAUUCAGUAGGUUUGAAGUGGGAGCCGAGAUUCUACAUUUCUAACAAGCUUCCAGAUGAUGCCAAU